CACGUAGGGGGCGAGCGUUGUCCGGAAUCAUUGGGCGUAAAGAGCUCGUAGGCGGCUCAGUAAGUCGGGUGUGAAACCCCCAGGCUCAACCUGGGGACGCCACCCGAUACUGCUGUGGCUAGAGUCCAGUAGGGGAGUGUGGAAUUCCCGGUGUAGCGGUGAAAUGCGCAGAUAUCGGGAGGAACACCAGCGGCGAAGGCGGCACUCUGGGCUGGAACUGACGCUGAGGAGCGAAAGCGUGGGGAGCGAACAGG
rnacentral:rRNA from 1 species